rnacentral:rRNA from 1 species
AGCAGCCGCGGUAAUUCCAGCUCCAAUAGCGUAUAUUAAAGUUGUUGCAGUUAAAAAGCUCGUAGUUGAACUUCGGGGUUUACCCAUUGGUCAGGCUUAAUUGUCUGUACUGGUGAGAUAAAUCUCUACCUUCUGAGGAACUUUCAUGCCAUUUAUUUGGUGUGAUGGGAAAUCAGGACUGUUACUUUGAAAAAAUUAGAGUGUUUAAAGCAGGCUAACGUCUGAAUACAUUAGCAUGGAAUAAUGAAAUAGGACGGACUGAUUCUAUUUCGUUGGUUUCUAGGAUCACCGUAAUGAUUAAUAGGGAUAGUUGGGGGCAUUAGUAUUCAAUUGUCAGAGGUGAAAUUCUUGGAUUUAUUGAAGACUAACUACUGCGAAAGCAUUUGCCAAGGAUGUUUUCAUUAAUCAAGAACGAAAGUUAGGGGAUCGAAGACGAUCAGAUACCGUCGUAGUCU